rnacentral:tRNA from 1 species
GAGUCGCUAGCUCAGUGGUCCGGGCCAUGAGCUCCGAACACAGAGAUCGUGAGUUCGAGUCCCAUGGCGCUCG